GCUGGGCGUGGUGGCGCAUGCCUGUAAUCCCAGCUCCUCGGGAGGCUGAGGCAGGAGAAUCGCUUGAACCAGGGAGUCGGAGGUUGCAGUGAGCCAAGAUCCUGCCACUGCACUCCAGCCUGGCAACAGAGCGAGACUCCGUCUCAA
rnacentral:SRP_RNA from 1 species